AUGGGCUGCUGGUCGUGACGUUGUCACGAGUCGUGCGUGCGUCGUCCAAAUGUCCAAUGCACCAGCAAAUGUCUGUGCUGGUUACUUUGUUGCAGCCAGCUGGCGAUAGGUUUUCCUUUUGCAGGCUUGCUACCUGUACUGGUUGCAACUUUUGUCACAUACAGAAACAAUUCUAAAGCGGUUUUUAAAAGCAAGUCGAAGAUCUUUCCUUUCUCCAUUUUUUUGCUGCCCUGUUAUGAAGAUGUGUGUUUGACAGUGUCUACUAUAUAUUGCAAGACAAAAAUGUGAUGAAAACAGACAAUAUGAAAUGGUCUCCAUGGUCAGUUUGGUGGUACAGUGGUUUUGCAGUCAUUUUCCAGUUGAGAGAUGUGCUGAAAUGGAGCUUGUGCAGACUUGCAGUUCAACACCAUACUUUAAUGUGUCAUUUGCCUAUUUUGAAAUCCAUGCAGUAUAUGCAGUGCAACAGUUGGGUAAUAGUCAAUGUUGCCUGAUGGCUGUCGGGCUUAUUUUAUCGGCUUCGUUUUGUCGAUAUGUCGUCUCUUGCUACCUGUACUGACGUUUAGUUUAAUCGUUGCUGCUGUUCCAUAUACUUGACCCAUUGUACCGGACGAUCUGUUUAAUACAAUUUGUUAUAUUAA